UGCCAGACUCCUACGGGAGGCAGCAGUGGGGAAUAUUGCACAAUGGGGGAAACCCUGAUGCAGCGACGCCGCGUGAGCGAUGAAGUAUUUCGGUAUGUAAAGCUCUCUCAGCAGGGAAGAAGAUGACGGUACCUGACUAAGAAGCCCCGGCUAACUACGUGCCAGCAGCCGCGGUAAUACGUAGGGGGCAAGCGUUAUCCGGAUUUACUGGGUGUAAAGGGAGCGUAGACGGCGAUGCAAGCCAGAUGUGAAAGCCCGGGGCUCAACCCCGGGACUGCAUUUGGAACUGUGUGGCUGGAGUGUCGGAGAGGCAGGCGGAAUUCCUAGUGUAGCGGUGAAAUGCGUAGAUAUUAGGAGGAACACCAGUGGCGAAGGCGGCCUGCUGGACGAUGACUGACGUUGAGGCUCGAAAGCGUGGGGAGCAAACAGGAUUAGAUACCCCGGUAA
rnacentral:rRNA from 1 species